rnacentral:rRNA from 1 species
GACGAACGCUGGCGGCGUGCUUAACACAUGCAAGUCGAACGGAAAGGCCUCUUUCGGGGGGUACUCGAGUGGCGAACGGGUGAGUAACACGUGAGUAACCUGCCCUUGUCUUUGGGAUAACUUCCGGAAACUGGGGCUAAUACCGGAUAGGAGCUCCUGCUGCAUGGUGGGGGUUGGAAAGUUUCGGCGGUUGGGGAUGGAUUCGCGGCGUAUCAGCUUGUUGGUGGGGAAGUGGCUUACCAAGGCUUUGACGGGUAGCCGGACCGUGAGAGUGACCGGCGACAUUGGGACUGAGAUGCGGCCGAGACUCCGACGGGAGGCAGCAGGGGGGAAUAUUGCACAAGCGGUGCAAGCCUGAUGCAGCAACGCCGUGGGCGGGAUGACGGCCUUCGGGUUGUAAACCGCUUGCGCUCAUGACGAAGCUUUGUGUGACGGUAGUGGGUAAAGAAGCACCGGCUAACUACGUG